rnacentral:rRNA from 1 species
UACGGGGGAGCAAGCGUUGUUCGGAUUUACUGGGCGUAAAGGGCGCGUAGGCGGUCAGCACAAGUCAGUUGUGAAAUCUCCGGGCUUAACUCGGAAAGGUCAACUGAUACUGUGCGACUAGAGUGCGGAAGGGGCAACUGGAAUUCUCGGUGUAGCGGUGAAAUGCGUAGAUAUCGAGAGGAACACCUGCGGCGAAGGCGGGUUGCUGGGCCGACACUGACGCUGGAUGCGCGAAAGCCAGGGGAGGCGAAACGGG